CCUCACUCUCUCACACACACACAACAGACACACACACUCAGGUACUGGUGUGCUUCUUUGAAUCAGACUUCUUUAAAUCAAUUAAUUCUCUUCAUUUCUUGAAUGACUUUCCAACAGCAUUAGCUAAUGACAGAGGCUGUGAAAGGGGUGGGCCCUCCAUUUUAAAUAUGGUGAGAGAACAUCACUGCUCCUGGAAAUGCCCCCAAAAGCUGUCCGUGCUAGAUCCCAGCACAGCAACACGCUCUCUGGGCUGGCAGGACAAUAACAACUGCCAUAGCCAUGACACUAGCCAGUCCCUUUACUGCUGUCUUAUCUCCACCACAUGACAUCAUGGUUGGUCUAAAAUUGUUUUAAGUGGACAGUUUCUUUCUGAGGUAAUUACCACAAAAUUAUUAGGAUUAAAAUCACAAUUAUAUGGGGCCGGCUUGGUGAUGCAGUGGUUAAGUGCACACGGUCCCCUCUGGCGGCCUGGGGUUUGCUGGUUCAGAUCCCAGGUGCGGACAUGGCACCGCUUGUCAAGCCAUGCUGUGGUAGGUGUCCCACAUAUAAAGUAGAGGAAGAUGGGCACGGAUGUUAGCUCAGGGCCACUCUUCCUCAGUAAAAAGAGGAGGAUUGGCAGCAGACGUUUGCUCAGCGCUGAUCUUCCUCAAAAAAACAAACAAACAAACAAAAAUCAUAAUUAUGGGAAAGCCAAGAAAGGUGAUCAAGAAUGGGAAAGAGAGCCUCGUAGUAAGCCUCUGUUUUCAUUACAAAUUUAUAUGGAAUAUGAAAAAGGUGAAGUGGUCAUCCUUGUUCCAUUUAACAUACUUACUUAGCUUCCAGGUAAUAAGUCUUACAGCCGGAAGGAAAUGGAUCCAUGGAUGAAAUGUCUGGUCCUUUCCUGCCAGCCUUCAUGCGGUCCCACUGCUGGCUGAAUAAGCUGGGAGCACAGUCCCUGGCAUCAGGCCCCGGAGGGCUGAGAAGGAGCCCUGGCCCGAAGCUCAUGGUCACUUCAUAUCCCUCCUUUAAGCCGCAGCCCUCUACACACUUCAUCUGUGUGAUGUUGACGCUGGUCUACCACCUGGAUAGCGGGGUGAAUCUUCCCAGUCUGUCAGCGCACGUCAGCCGGCUCGUGAUUCUUCUAAGUGUGGGAAUGCACCAAAGUGCUCAUCUCAGUGGCCAUCCUCUUACCUCUCCCGUUCAGAUUGUGCGUGUCCAUGAACCAGAACGUCUAGCCACAGUUUGCACCUUGCUCGACAUAACUCUUGUCCAUUGAGUCCACCAUCACGGUCAUCUCCUGUUGGGUGCUGCUCAAUGUCGUCUUCCACUCCUCGGCUCCUUCCUGAG
ensembl:lncRNA